rnacentral:rRNA from 1 species
AUGGCGCCAGCGCAGCAAGCCUCGCCACCCCCGAUUCUCAGCGUCCUCGACACCACUCUCGUAGCGCCCUCGCCCAGCGCCGGCGCCGCCCCGCCGGAGUCCUCCCUCCCGCUCACCUUCUUCGACGUCUUCUGGCUUAACCUCCCACCCGUCGAGCGCGUCUUCUUCUACCGCCUCGCCGCCGACGCCGACGUCCCCGCCAUCCUCUCCAACCUCAAGACCUCGCUGUCCCAGGCCCUCCACGCCUACUACCCGCUUGCCGGCCGCCUCCGCCUCACGCCCGGGACGGCUGACCGCUACGAGGUCUACUACCAGCCUGGCGACGGUGUCACCUUCACCGUCGCCGAGUACCGUGAUGAUGUUGACGUCGAUGAGCUGGCCAUCGACCAGCCGAGGGAGAUCAUCAGGAUCGCGCCGCUCGCACCGCCACUCCCCAAGGGCGGCGCGGUGCUCGCGCUGCAGGCCACCGUGAUGCGCCGUGGCCUCGCCAUCGGCAUGGCCGUGCACCACGCCGCCUGCGACGGGGCGACCUCCACGCGCUUCCUGCACACCUGGGCGGCGGCCAGCACCGGCGCCGUCGGCCCACCACCCCCUGUCAUCGACAGAACCCUCGUAAAGGACCCAACGGGUCUCUACGACGUCUUCGUGAAAGCCAAGCCGACCGCCGGCGAGAUGGACCGCGUCAAGACGUGGGAGCACCGACUCCUCGCCACGUUCACACUGUCCAAGGAAGAGAUACAACGCGUCAAGGACGUGGUAGCCAGCGAGGCCGGGCGGCGAGGCGCUACGCCGCCGCGAUGCUCCUCGUUGGUGGCCACCUUCGGCUUCAUGUGGUCAUGCCACCAGCGAACUAAAGAUACAGGAAGCACCGGCGCAGACCCGACAUACUUGCUCUUCCCCGUCGACCACCGCUCACGGAUGAAGCCUCCCGUCCCGGAGGAGUACCUCGGCAACUGCGUCGGCAUCGCCACGCAUGCCGCACCCAUGGACCAGCUCGCGGCAGCCGGCGCCGGCGGCCUCUUCAUCGCGUGCACGGCGGUAGCUGCGGCGAUCGACGAAGCGGUGCGCGGCAUCGGCUCACCUGAGACAGUUGCGUUGUGGAUGCAUCGGGUCAGGGAGGCUGGCGUCGCCGGCAUGUGGACGGUGGCCGGGUCGCCGAGGUUCCGCGUGUACGAGGUGGACUUUGGGUUCGGGCGGCCGGCCAAGGUGGAGAUCGUGUCCGUGGCGAGAACCGGCGCCAUGGCGGUGGCAGAGGGCCGGAGCGGCCGCGGCGGCAUCGAGGUGGGCAUCUCUCUGCCGGCGGCCGGCAUGCAGAGCUUUCAAAUGUGCUUCCAAGAUGCCAUUGACUGGCUUCACCAGUAA